AUUGAACGCUGGCGGCAGGCCUAACACAUGCAAGUCGAACGGGUGGCGGACGGGUGAGUAAUGUGAGGGAACCUGCCCGAGGGAGAGGGAUACCUACUGCGAACGGUAGCUACUACCGCAUACCGUCGGGUGUGCCCAGGUUGGAUUAGCUGGUAGGUGGGGUAACGGCUGACCUAGGCGACGAUCCCUAGCUGGUCUGAGAGGAUGACCAGCCACACUGGAACUGAGACACGGUCCAGACUCCGACGGGAGGCAGCAGUGGGGAAUAUUGCACAAUGGGCGAAAGCCUGAUGCAGCCAUGCCGCGUGUAUGAAGAAGGCCUUCGGGUUGUAAAGUACUUUAAGUGGGGAGGCGUUACUCGCAGAAGAAGCACCGGCUAACUUCGUGCCAGCAGCCGCGGUAAUAC
rnacentral:rRNA from 1 species